UCACGCAUCCCAUCGACACGAUAGGGAAGGUCUGGGACAGUGUCCAUUGGGGCUUUGGUGCGGCAAAGGAUGCGUCGGAAGAAUUCAUGGCGGCGCGCCGGGAGCGACAAGAAAACUUGAUUUAGU
rnacentral:ribozyme from 1 species